UACGUAGGGUGCAAGCGUUUGUCCGGAAUUAUUGGGCGUAAAGAGCUCGUAGGCGGCUUGUCGCGUCGUCCGUGAAAACCCACGGCUUAACUGUGGGCUUGCGGUCGAUACGGGCAGGCUGGAGUUCGGUAGGGGAGACUGGAAUUCCUGGUGUGAGCGGUGAAAUGCGCAGAUAUCAGGAGGAACACCGGUGGCGAAGGCGGGUCUCUGGGCCGAUACUGACGCUGAGGAGCGAAAGCGUGGGGAGCGAACAGG
rnacentral:rRNA from 1 species